AAGAACAGGUCCUACAAAGACGACAAAAAAGACAGCCGAUCAUAUCAGUCUGCCGAGAUCAGUCAUCCAGAGAAGCUCGAGUGUUUCUGCUCAAUUUCGCUCCCAAAUGAAGAAGGUGGCCGUGCCAUUUCCGCCUACGAUUUUUAGAUCCCCUGGUAAUGUGAAACUUAUCUCAAGUCAAAUAUUUGCCCGUAGAUGCUGUCAAGGAGAGUAAAGAGGCAGGAGAUGAUGAGAGACAGCUCUCUGCAGGCCACUCUGUUUGCUCGAUACUCCUGGGAAGUCCUGAUACACACAAGUCAAUAAAAGAG